rnacentral:tRNA from 1 species
UGGGGUGGGGCUCAGUGGCAGAGCACUUGCCUGGCAUGUGUGAGGCACUGGGUUCAAUUCUCAGCACCACAU